GGUAUACUUAUGUCUGCCGGAGAGCAUUCUUGUUAAGUUGCCAGAACUUUCAGUCUAAUGCUCAUGUGAUAUAGGUCAUCGCUUUCUAAGCGAUAUUACAGCCAUUGAGUACUUAGAAAGAAACAGAUGGUUUUCUCUGUAUCAAAGAUGUCAUUUGGAAGUGUAUGAAGGCGACGGAGACACGAGUUCCUGUGAUAAACUUAUAUUGACAUCAUACCCACAGGAUUUCAGCACCAGACAACCGAGUUACCUGGAAACGAAGCUAAGCCAUUUGUCGCAGAAAACCCAGAGGUUAUUCUAACAUAGAAUUACCCGUGAUAAAUAUCGUAUCCAUAAUUGAUCAAAUGCUCUGAAGCUCCGAGAUAAGUCAAAGCCAUUCUCAUACGCCGGUUC